rnacentral:rRNA from 1 species
CGAAGGGUGCAAGCGUUACUCGGGAUUACUGGGCGUAAAGCGUGCGUAGGUGGUUUGUUAAGUCUGAUGUGAAAGCCCUGGGCUCAACCUGGGAACUGCAUUGGAAACUGGCUUACUAGAGUGCGGUAGAGGGUAGUGGAAUUCCCGGUGUAGCAGUGAAAUGCGUAGAUAUCGGGAGGAACAUCUGUGGCGAAGGCGACUACCUGGACCAGCACUGACACUGAGGCACGAAAGCGUGGGGAGCAAACAGGAUUAGAUACCCUGGUAGUCCACGCCCUAAACGAUGCGAACUGGAUGUUGGGAGCAACUUGGCUCUCAGUAUCGAAGCUAACGCGUUAAGUUCGCCGCCUGGGAAGUACGGUCGCAAGACUG